AUGGCGGACAAGCUUCGUGAGCUCACUCACAGGUUCCGGGCCGCGCGGGCCGACGGCAGGCUUCGGCUCCCCUGGGACUGGGAGAAGCCGAUGCCGUACCGGGUGUUCUACUCGCCAAGUAAAGGGUGCAUCACCGUAACAGAUCCCUAUCCGGCCAGCCGAGACCCCAACGAAGGCAACCGGCACAGGGACAAGCCACCAAUGUCAACGCGCGUGAGGCGGGGACUCCAGGCUAUUGACCAAUGGCUUGAGCUACCAGACCUGGCCCGCAAGGUGCUUAUCAAGGGCGGUAAGAUUGUGGGCACUGGGGUGACAGCAGUUGGUGUCUGCCGCAUCGGCUACUUUGAGUUCAAGUGGCUCAGGGAGCAGGAUGGCUCUGAACCUGUCAGGGAUGGGUAUGAACAUGCAAGGGCAAGUGUCCUUUCCUACAUCCAGGGGCAGCCGUGCCAAGACCCCAGCGCCACGUUUAUCCAGAGCAUCAAGGACCUCUGCAACCCAUUCUACAGCUACAAGAAGCCCGCCAAUGAGGAACCCACCAAGAGCCCGACCAAGAAGCCUGUGGAGGGGAAGAGCACCAGGGAUAUAGAGGAGACGGCAGCAGCAGCAAAGGCCAAGAGGUUCUCUGAGUUCCAGAGGCAGAAGUUGGACCGUCUCGAACAUUCCAAGAGGAAAGGUGACAAGGACAAGGACAAGGAGAAGAGUCAGAGCAAGGGCAGUGCUGCUGGGCAGGGCCCUGAAGCGGCGCCGAAGAAGUAG
rnacentral:rRNA from 1 species